rnacentral:rRNA from 1 species
UACGUAGGUGGCAAGCGUUGUCCGGAAUUACUGGGCGUAAAGAGCUCGUAGGUGGUUUGUCGCGUUGUUCGUGAAAUGCCACAGCUUAACUGUGGGCGUGCGGGCGAUACGGGCAGACUGGAGUACUGCAGGGGAGACUGGAAUUCCUGGUGUAGCGGUGGAAUGCGCAGAUAUCAGGAGGAACACCGGUGGCGAAGGCGGGUCUCUGGGCAGUAACUGACGCUGAGGAGCGAAAGCGUGGGGAGCGAACAGG